rnacentral:tRNA from 1 species
UCUUAUAUAGUUUAAAUUAAAACCUUAAUUUUGUAAAUUAAUAAUAUUUUUAAUUAAUUAUAAGAU